rnacentral:misc_RNA from 1 species
GAGUUCAUUCUCUUUCGUAAACUGUCGGAGUGUAAUGUUGGUAGUGGGGACGAUGGAGGACCAUGAAAAGAUUGUCGAGAGUGGAAGCAGCAGGUGCCAAGAUAGUUGGGGCCUCUGAGUCCGUCCAGCCCUCUUGCAUUGAUGGUAAAAAGAUGCUUGAGCUCUCCGGCGUAGAUGUCAUUCUUGUUAAGCCCCUGGAAUCUCUGCGGAAAGUGCACGAAGGAAACCCGAGAAGCCAUGGCAGGGUCCAUCAUGUAGCAUAGGGCACGGUAAGGGGACUUGGGAUCAGUUGAAUACAUGUCGCAGUC